rnacentral:rRNA from 1 species
GACGAACGCUGGCGGCGUGCCUAAUACAUGCAAGUCGAACGCUUCUUUCCUCCCGAGUGCUUGCACUCAAUUGGAAAGAGGAGUGGCGGACGGGUGAGUAACACGUGGGUAACCUACCCAUCAGAGGGGGAUAACACUUGGAAACAGGUGCUAAUACCGCAUAACAGUUUAUGCCGCAUGGCAUAAGAGUGAAGGGCGCUUUCGGGUGUCGCUGAUGGAUGGACCCGCGGUGCAUUAGCUAGUUGGUGAGGUAACGGCUCACCAAGGCCACGAUGCAUAGCCGACCUGAGAGGGUGAUCGGCCACACUGGGACUGAGACACGGCCCAGACUCCUACGGGAGGCAGCAGUAGGGAAUCUUCGGCAAUGGACGAAAGUCUGACCGAGCAACGCCGCGUGAGUGAAGAAGGUUUUCGGAUCGUAAAACUCUGUUGUUAGAGAAGAACAAGGACGUUAGUAACUGAACGUCCCCUGACGGUAUCUAACCAGAAAGCCACGGCUAACUACGUG